GUGGGGAAUAUUGCACAAUGGGCGCAAGCCUGAUGCAGCAACGCCGCGUGAAUGAAGAAGGUCUUCGGAUCGUAAAGUUCUUUUCUUAGGGAAGAAACCAUGACGGUACCUAAGGAAUAAGCACCGGCUAACUACGUGCCAGCAGCCGCGGUAAUACGUAGGGUGCAAGCGUUAUCCGGAAUCACUGGGCGUAAAGGGUGCGUAGGCGGUCUGACAAGUCAGGAGUGAAAGGCAGUGGCUCAACCAUUGUAAGCUUUUGAAACUGUCGGACUUGAAUGCAGGAGGGGCAAGUGGAAUUCCUAGUGUAGCGGUGAAAUGCGUAGAUAUUAGGAGGAACACCAGUGGCGAAGGCGACUUGCUGGACUGUAAUUGACGCUGAGGCACGAAAGCGUGGGGAGCAAACAGGAUUAGAUACCCUAGUAGUCC
rnacentral:rRNA from 1 species